rnacentral:rRNA from 1 species
GACAGAGGUGCCGAGCGUUAGGCGGAAUCACUGGGCUUAAAGCGUGUGUAGGCGGACCAUUAAGUACCUUGUGAAAUCCCACGGCUCAACCGUGGAACGGCUGGGUAUACUGGCGGUCUUGAGCCACCUAGGGGCAGAUGGAACAGACGGUGGAGCGGUGAAAAUGCGUAGAUAUCGUCUGGAACGCCAAUGGUGAAAACAGUCUGCUGGGGGUGUGCUGACGCUGAGACACGAAAGCCAGGGGAGCAAACGGG